rnacentral:rRNA from 1 species
GAGUUUGAUCCUGGCUCAGGAUGAACGCUGGCGGCGUGCUUAACACAUGCAAGUCGAACGAAGCACCUUUUAAGAUUCUUCGGAUGAUUGAUUGGUGACUGAGUGGCGGACGGGUGAGUAACGCGUGGGUAACCUGCCCUGUACAGGGGGAUAACAGUUGGAAACGGCUGCUAAUACCGCAUAAGCGCACGAGAGGGCAUCCUCUUGUGUGAAAAACUCCGGUGGUACAGGAUGGGCCCGCGUCUGAUUAGCUGGUUGGCAGGGUAACGGCCUACCAAGGCAACGAUCAGUAGCCGGUCUGAGAGGAUGAACGGCCACAUUGGAACUGAGACACGGCCCAGACUCCUACGGGAGGCAGCAGUGGGGGAUAUUGCACAAUGGGGGAAACCCUGAUGCAGCGACGCCGCGUGAAGGAAGAAGUAUCUCGGUAUGUAAACUUCUAUCAGCAGGGAAGAUAGUGACGGUACCUGACUAAGAAGCCCCGGCUAACUACGUGCCAGCCGCCGCGGUAAUUC